UGCAAAAAAACAUGGCGAUGCUCAUUGUGUCCACGUGGAAGACAGAAGUUACGUACAUAAUAGAUUCGAUUUACAAGAAAUGACUGAAAUAUGUUCGUAACAAUGACACAAAGAUCCAAGACUCAAAAUAGAAGACCUAGGAUAUUUAGCAAUCCAUCUGACAAUUUACUUGUCUGCAUUAAUUCUCUUUGAAAGCUAGUCUAUUAUUAAGCUUUGAAAUGAAAUAUUAAAAGUAUUAAAGACAA